AUUGAACGCUGGAGGCAGGCCUAACACAUGCAAGUCGCACGAGUGGCGGACGGGUGAGUAAUGUCUGGGAAACUACCUGAGGGAGGGGGAUAACUACUGGGAACGGUAGCUAAUACCGCAUACCAUCAGAUGUUCCCCAAGGGGAUUAGCUUGUUGGUUGCGUAACGGCUCACCCAGGCGACGAUCCCUAGCUGGUCUGAGAGGAUGACCAGCCACACUGGAACUGAGACACGGUCCAGACUCCUACGGGAGGCAGCAGUGGGGAAUAUUGCACAAUGGGCGCAAGCCUGAUGCAGCCAUGCCGCGUGUAUGAAGAAGGCCUUCGGGUUGUAAAGUACUUUCAGCGGGGAGGCGUUACCCGCAGAAGAAGCACCGGCUAACUCCGUGCCAGCAGCCGCGGUAAUUC
rnacentral:rRNA from 1 species